rnacentral:misc_RNA from 1 species
CCAGUUGAGAAUGGUGACAGGGCCAGUAAGCAUUCCCUUCAUUGGCCUCUUGGUCAUCUCUUGAGCUUUUGAGGACCAGAAGACAGUCAUUGGCUUAGGGCGGCUCACAUCACCAUAGAUGAUUGGUGGCUUCACACAUCGAGAUCCAUAAGAUUGAACCCAUCCAUUGGCAGUGAAAGCAAAACCAGAGAGCUGCUCUCCGAAGUACUCAACCAUAUCGUUCCUCUCAGGCUCUCCGUGAACCAAGACAUCAAUGUCAAGUUCCUCCUGGAGAUCAACAACCUUCUUGAUUUCCUCGGUGAUGGCCUUAACAUACUCCUCCUCAGAGAUCUUCUUGGCCUUGUAUUCACGACGAACUCUCCUGAGCUCCACUGUCUGGGGGAAGGAUCCAAUGGUGGUUGUGGGCAGGAUUGGUAGGUUAAGCUUCUUUUGUUGGGCAUCAAGUCUAGCACUAAC